AAUCAACGCUGGCGGCGUGCCUAACACAUGCAAGUCGAACGCGAAAGUCCCGCAAGGGAUUAGUAGAGUGGCAAACGGGUGAGUAACACGUGGGUGACCUGCCUUCGAGCGGGGGAUAACGUUCCGAAGGAACGCUAAUACCGCAUAACAUCCUGCCUUUUAAGUAGGCGGUGAUCAAAGCCGGGGAUUCGCAAGAACCUGGCACUUGAAGAGGGGCCCGCGCCUGAUUAGCUAGUUGGUGGGGUAANGGCCUACCAAGGCAACGAUCAGUAUCCGGCCUGAGAGGGCGGACGGACACACUGGGACUGAGACACGGCCCAGACUCCUACGGGAGGCAGCAGUGGGGAAUUGUUCGCAAUGGGCGCAAGCCUGACGACGCAACGCCGCGU
rnacentral:rRNA from 1 species